rnacentral:rRNA from 1 species
AACGCUAGCUACAGGCUUAACACAUGCAAGUCGAGGGGAAACGAUAUUGGAAGCUUGCUUCCGAUAGGCGUCGACCGGCGCACGGGUGAGUAACGCGUAUCCAACCUGCCCACCACUUGGGGAUAACCUUGCGAAAGUAAGACUAAUACCCAAUGAUAUCUCUAGAAGACAUCUGAAAGAGAUUAAAGAUUUAUCGGUGAUGGAUGGGGAUGCGUCUGAUUAGCUUGUUGGCGGGGUAACGGCCCACCAAGGCAACGAUCAGUAGGGGUUCUGAGAGGAAGGUCCCCCACAUUGGAACUGAGACACGGUCCAAACUCCUACGGGAGGCAGCAGUGAGGAAUAUUGGUCAAUGGACGAGAGUCUGAACCAGCCAAGUAGCGUGAAGGAUGAAGGUCCUACGGAUUGUAAACUUCUUUUAUAAGGGAAUAAAACCUCCCACGUGUGGGAGCUUGUAUGUACCUUAUGAAUAAGCAUCGGCUAACUCCGUGCCAGCAGCCGCGGUAAUACGGAGGAUGCGAGCGUUAUCCGGAUUUAUUGGGUUUAAAGGGAGCGCAGACGGGUCGUUAAGUCAGCUGUGAAAGUUUGGGGCUCAACCUUAAAAUUGCAGUUGAUACUGGCGUCCUUGAGUGCGGUUGAGGUGUGCGGAAUUCGUGGUGUAGCGGUGAAAUGCUUAGAUAUCACGAAGAACUCCGAUUG